AUAGAAGUUCUGGAAUACAGGGGAGGGCCCACUUCUGAGUCCUCCCCCAUUCACUCUCACGGCAGGAGAAGCCCUCCCCACUCCCAUGUCCUUAACAAGAGGCUCCUUCUGUGUGCUGUGUCUCAGGUGUUGCUGCAAGGUGUAAAUCCCCAGGGGCUGUUUGACUUACCAGGCAGCUGCCUAAGUUCUGCAGACUGGGAAAUCCAGAAGAUGGUGCUGGCAUCUGGUGAGGGUCUCUGUGCAUCAUGGGAAUGCCACAGGACAAGCAAGCCUGCUAGAGAGAACACUGAGCCAAACUCAGUCUUUGUCAGGAAACUUCUCCCAUGCUUCAUAGCUCAGAGAGGACCGAGCGGGUGGAGCCUCCUGAAUCCUAAUGAUGCUUCAAGCAGCCAUUCGGCCUGGAACAGACAGAACUACCUCUCUCCACAGCUGGGAUGAUCCUGUCUGGGUCCCCACACUGCCACGUCUGGAAAUUAAGGCUGUGGUUUCUGUCUGGUGUCCUGUUAAUUGGGUCAUUACUCCCAAAGACAAGGGAAUGAGUUUCUAGAGUUAUCACUUGAAGGAACAACACAUUGGAUAAUAAACCCCAGCUGUUUACAGAAAGCUACAUGUAUUCUAACAGCAUGCAAAAUAUCAAAACUCGACUAACAGAACAUUCGGGGUGGGCAGAGGACCCUGCCCAUCUCUGAGUCUAGGUGUUUUUGUGGAAGAUGAGGAGUAACGUUGCCAUUUCAGGAGUUUAUUGCACUCUUAGGGGGCAAGUCUGUGGCCUCUAGUGGUCUCUAAGAUGU